UUCAAGGCCCAGCCUGUGAAGACUUCCCAGACUACUUCAUCCCAUCAUGCUCUCUCCUUUCUCUGAAUUCUGCUUGGCUGAAUCACACUGAAUUGGGAGUAUGACAGGACUUAUUCAACCCACAAGAGCUUCUCUCUCCAGCAUCCUGAGUGAAAAAGAAAAUUAAAACAACAACAGCAAUAACAACAAAUCAGAACAUGGCGCACUCUCUCUUUGGCGAAAAUG